GACGAACGCUGGCGGCGUGCUUAACACAUGCAAGUCGAACGGAAAGGCCCCUUUGGGGUUCCUCGAGUGGCGAACGGGUGAGUAACACGUGAGUAACCUGCCCUUUACUUCGGGAUAACUUCAGGAAACUGGGGCUAAUACCGGAUAGGAAUCCUUGCUGCAUGGUGGGGGUUGGAAAGCUUCUGCGGUUUUGGAUGGACUCGCGGCUUAUCAGCUUGUUGGUGGGGUAGUGGCUUACCAAGGCUUUGACGGGUAGCCGGCCUGAGAGGGCGACCGGCCACAUUGGGACUGAGAGACGGCCCAGACUCCUACGGGAGGCAGAAGUGGGGAAUAUUGAACAAUGGGCGGAAGCCGGAUGCAGCAACGCCGCGGGCGGGAUGACGGCCUUCGGGUUGUAAACCGCUUUCAGCAGGGGCGAAGCUUGUGGUGACGGUACCUGCAGAAGAAGCACCGGCUAACUACGUG
rnacentral:rRNA from 1 species